CAGUAGCCACGGUAAUACGUAGGUGGCAAGCGUUGUCCGGAAUUAUUGGGCGUAAAGGGCUCGCAGGCGGUUUCUUAAGUCUGAUGUGAAAGCCCCCGGCUCAACCGGGGAGGGUCAUUGGAAACUGGGAAACUUGAGUGCAGAAGAGGAGAGUGGAAUUCCACGUGUAGCGGUGAACUGCGUAGAGAUGUGGAGGAACACCAGUGGCGAAGGCGACUCUCUGGUCUGUAACUGACGCUGAGGAGCGAAAGCGUGGGGAGCGAACAGGAUUAGAUACCCCGGUAGUCCCUGUCUCUUAUAC
rnacentral:rRNA from 1 species